GAUGAACGCUGGCGGCGUGCCUAAUACAUGCAAGUCGAGCGAACGGACGAGAAGCUUGCUUCUCUGAUGUUAGCGGCGGACGGGUGAGUAACACGUGGAUAACCUACCUAUAAGACUGGGAUAACUUCGGGAAACCGGAGCUAAUACCGGAUAAUAUUUUGAACCGCAUGGUUCAAAAGUGAAAGACGGUCUUGCUGUCACUUAUAGAUGGAUCCGCGCUGCAUUAGCUAGUUGGUAAGGUAACGGCUUACCAAGGCAACGAUGCAUAGCCGACCUGAGAGGGUGAUCGGCCACACUGGAACUGAGACACGGUCCAGACUCCUACGGGAGGCAGCAGUAGGGAAUCUUCCGCAAUGGGCGAAAGCCUGACGGAUCAACGCCGCGUGAGUGAUGAAGGUCUUCGGGUCGUAAAACUCUGUUAUUAGGGAAGAACAUAUGUGUAAGUAACUGUGCACAUCUUGACGGUACCUAAUCAGAAAGCCACGGCUAACUACGUG
rnacentral:rRNA from 1 species